UUUUCUAAAAAAAUAGAUUGUUAGUGAUUGUGAUAUGAUUGACAUCAUGAUUUUCAAAACAUUUAAGAAUCUACUAUGUAUGUAAAUAUUCUACUAUGUAUUAGUUUUCAACAAAGGGGAACAAGCACCUUAUGUUUGAAGUCCACUCGAUUACUUCAGUCUUUCGAACUAAUGUGAGUAUAAGAUAUUGUAUGCUUUUUUUUAGAUGCUAUCAUGUCCAUGUUUGGUAUGAUAAAUGCCAAAAGAUUUUGUGUAUGAUGUAAAUUUCAUAUACCAUAUGAGAUGAUUAAGCAUGCAUGAUGAAUACCAUAAGAUUGUAUAUAUGAUGUAAAUUCCACAUAGAAUAUAAGGUGAUUAAGUAUGCAUGAUGAAUGCCAUGAGAUUAUGUAUAUGAUGUGUAUUCCAUAUACUACAUGAGAUGAUUGAGAAAGCAUGAUGAAUGCUAG
rnacentral:lncRNA from 1 species